rnacentral:misc_RNA from 1 species
ACGAGCCCCAAAAUGACCGCGAACUCGUUGCAACAGUUUUCUAGCGAGGAGCUAUGCUUCCGCGAUCCAAAACCCCCCAAGGCGCCGAUCUUGCGCCAAGGAAAGAAAUGAUCCCCGGUGGUGCGCGACGAGCGCACUGGAUUUCAUAAGAGUAAAACAAAC